GUUCCGUGAAAAAAUUAGAGUGUUCAAAGCAGGCAGAUCCAAUUUUCUGCCACCGAAUACAUUAGCAUGGGAUAAUGGAAUAGGACCCUGUCCUCCUAGUUUCAGUUGGUUUGCCGCGAGGACCAGGGUAAUGAUUAAUAGGGAUAGAUUGGGGGCAUUAAUAUUUAAUUGUCAGAGGUGAAAUUCUUGGAUGUAUGAAAGAUUAACUUCUGCGAAAGCAUCUGCCAAGGAUGUUUUCAUUAAUCAAGAACGAAAGUUAGGGGAUCGAAGACGAUCAGAUACCGUCGUAGUCUUAACCAUAAACGAUGCCGACCAGCGAUUAGGAGACGUUGAAUACAAAACACCACCAUGCGAUUGCGGUCGUCAAUGGUGUCGCUCACAAGGCGGCAUCGGGACGGCUUAGCUCGCAUGGCACCGGUGAAUGACUCCCUAGCAGCGGUGUGAGA
rnacentral:rRNA from 1 species